rnacentral:sRNA from 1 species
ACAAAAAUAAAAACACGCAGCAACCCAAUAAAAACAACACGUACCGGCUCUGACAUAACAAGAACAACACGGACAGAGGCGUAGCUAACAGAUUUUUUUGAAGUGGACAGCUUUUCUGAACAGCUUGCCUGGCAAGUCGUUCGCAGUCAGACAGAGAACAAUAAAACUGCCCCAAGGCAGCUCCCGUACUGACUGGAUCAACACGAUGAAAGUGGCCUCAGCGCUCAAAAAAAUACGUUUGCUCUUGAUCCAGCUUGUGGGUCGCUCAAAAAAGAUGUGAAGGGUCAGGUCACCAAAAACAACAACAGACCUCCCGACAAACAAAAAAGAGCAUAGAGAUACACCUUGAAGGGGAGCCCAGGCUCCCCUUCGUGCUUUCUGGCGUUUGCCUGGCGCCGAUGUC